GACGAACGCUGGCGGCGUGCUUAACAAAUGCAAGUCGAACGGAAAGGCCCUGCUUUUGUGGGGUGCUCGAGUGGCGAACGGGUGAGUAACACGUGAGUAACCUGCCCUUGACUUUGGGAUAACUUCAGGAAACUGGGGCUAAUACCGGAUAGGAGCUCCUGCUGCAUGGUGGGGGUUGGAAAGUUUCGGCGGUUGGGGAUGGACUCGCGGCUUAUCAGCUUGUUGGUGGGGUAGUGGCUUACCAAGGCUUUGACGGGUAGCCGGCCUGAGAGGGUGACCGGCCACAUUGGGACUGAGAUACGGCCCAGACUCCUACGGGAGGCAGCAGUGGGGAAUAUUGCACAAUGGGCGGAAGCCUGAUGCAGCAACGCCGCGUGCGGGAUGACGGCCUUCGGGUUGUAAACCGCUUUCGCCUGUGACGAAGCGUGAGUGACGGUAAUGGGUAAAGAAGCACCGGCUAACUACGU
rnacentral:rRNA from 1 species